ensembl:lncRNA
CAGGUGUCUCCUCAGUGUGAGGGAGGAAACAAACUAGCGAUAUUUUUCCUUCUCUAUAGAGACUGCUAGUGACUAUAUAACAUCCAGCUGAAGACUAUCAGUGGGGUACUCUUUGCCCCCUUCUGAUGCCUAUGUCAGAAGCUUUCUCUAUCUCCUUUAUACUUAAAACGUCAUUACACAAAAGCUCUGAGCGAUCAAGCCUCCUCUCUGGACGCGGAUUGAUUUCUUCUCCUCCAGAGGCCAAGAAUCCUGACAUCUUUUCAUUCAGCAAGAACUUUUCAUCAGCUUGUGAGAGAUUUGCCAGACCAUACUGCAC